GGAAUAUGUCAUACCCUUUGAAUAUUUCCAAGAAACUAAUACAGAAUAUAGACAACUUCUUGAGCAUAUAAUAGUGUGGAGCUGUGCCUUAAGAAAAAAGCAGUAUAGAUCCAACGAAGUUUGUGUGGUAGAGAAUCAUUCUGCUAGCCUGCUUUCCAUGGUCUCAGGAAUUUUGUAAAGGACACAUUUUAUUGGUAUUGGUUUGAUGUUUUUCUUAGGAUUAGAAUGCAAUUUCUGGAUGAAGACCAGAGGGCAAAUUAACAGUCAACAAAGGAGGAAGAAGGGAGGGAGGAAGAGUCAACAAUGCAGCUGGAC